UAAACAAAUUUAUCUGAUUGUUAUAGUCAGUUUCAAAAAGAAUUUAAUAAAAUCUUUUGUCUAGUGUCAACCAUAAAUGAUUAAUGAUAAUUUUUUUUCAUGAUGGUUGUAGAUUUUAAUAUACACAUUUUGAUAUAUUUGAUAAUUUGAUUUAGUUUCUUUUAUGCACUCUUUCUUUAAUCAUAAAUUGUUUAAUACGCUGUGGGGCUAUUCUGCUAAUAACAAAUAAAUUUUUUUAAAAAGCACAGAAUAAGAACAAGAAUUGAUUAAUUUUUUAUUACCAAAAAUGAGUGAACAAAGGAUGAGCGAGAUGCCAUGUGGCAUCAGUGGUGACGGGCAACUGGAUGAUCAUGAAUAUCUGGUGUUAAUUAAAAGUCAAAAUUGGAACUCCGUAUGAGGUGGAGACAAGUAUUCAGCAAUGAUGGCUACACCGUUAUGACAGUAACAGUAACGGUUUUUUUUUGGCUUAAAUACCAUUUUCUGUUGAGUUAAAUG
rnacentral:lncRNA from 1 species